AUCAGAUGACUCAGUCUGUGUGAGGCUCUUGGGAGGGGUCUGGCCCACGGCGGGUGCUGGAUAAGCGUCGCUGUCAUCGCUGCCCAUGUUCUCCAGCGUCUGUCUGCUGCACGAGCAGCGCCGUGCACAGCCAUGUUGAUCUCGAGCCUGACUCUGUGCCGAGCAAGAACAAGUAAUAAUGGGAGCCACUUCAACAACCACUCAAGCAUCUCAUCAUUGCUUUAAGAGGCAAAAGGCUAAGAUGAUGGAGGCCUGCGGGGAUGUGGGAAUGGUGCUGUCGCCACGGAGGGCUGCUCUUGAGGUUAGGAGAUUUAUUUGCAGGCAUCUGCCUGUGACAGUCACACUUCCCGAUCCUCAUCUGGGAUGCCCAGCCAUUUGGAGGAGGCCUGAUGAUGAAGGGGCCCAGCCCCGGGUUCCAGCUGGGUCCUCAGGGACUCACUGCCCUGGAAAGAUGCUUGAGGACUUGGUGAUGCUUCCAGAUGUGGAGACUCUGGGGGUGAGUGGUGGGCAGGUGUGAGAUAUCUUAAUAUCGUGUUCACCUCCAGAAGCCUCGAUGUCUCAGCAACUGUAAAAUGUGUCCAAAGGUUCUUUUUGCAAAUGGUGUCAUUUCUCUGACCCAGCAGGGAAGAAGGGUGUGUCCAAUAACAGGUUCACCACGCGUGCAAGGUGCCAUGCAGAGAAUGUUCUAGAUGAUGUUCUCUGUGGGAAUGGAGCCAGCUGGAACUCAGUGGAAAAGGCUCACCUCUCCACAGGGAAGGUUUUGCUUAGUGACCCUUGACUUUGGCAGGGCCCCGGGCUCCUACAGGAGCAACUUCCAUAAACCAGCACAGGCGAUGACAGCUGCAAAAGACCCGUUGGGCUCAAGCAGAAUGGAGCUUGCAAGUGCUUACUGGCUUCCUCUUCCUCCUGCUUUUGUUCCACCCAGGCUGAGACCCUAGUGGACGCACCACCUGCCUUAGGAAUAGGUCUUCCCCACUCAGCUCGCUGGCCCACAUGAGGACUGUCCUGGGAAACGCCCCACAGACACACCCAGAAGUGUGCUGCACUGAUCUCUCAGUCCAAUCACGUUGACAGUGGAUACUGACUACCACACAACAGUAUCUUCACUGAUACAGAUAGAAGCCCCUCAUGCCAACUGUUUCAUUUUCAUAUACAGUUACUGUAUUCUAAGUUGCUGUUAUUUCCCUAGUCUCGCCUAAUUCAUCUUAGGGAUCAGGAAGAAAGGGCCAGAUGGCUUACUCUAACACACCAGGGAAGGACGGCUUAAGUGAGGCUGUCUGUGAACACCCUUAGAUUCUGCUAGGGGCAGUAUGGAAGGCAGUGCCGUGGCUGGAUCUCGAUGUCCUCCUACAGCCUUAUGUGUCGUAGGCUGGACCUUUGGAAGCUGACUGGAUUAGAAGGGUAUGACAGCUGACUUCCAGAAGGGAGGUAGGGCCGUUCAGAAGAGGCAGAUCACCGUGGGCCUGACCUGAGAAGUCAGUCACCCUUUGUGGCUCCUUCCUGAAUCUCUCAGCUUCCCAGUACUCACCAGGCUGUGAGCAGAGUUUCCUCUGCCAGGCCCUCUGCUGCACGACCCUGCCUUGGAGCCAGCUGAC